GACGAACGCUGGCGGCGUGCUUAACACAUGCAAGUCGAACGGAAAGGCCCUGCUUUUGUGGGGUGCUCGAGUGGCGCACGCGUGAGUAUCACGCGUGUAUCCUCUCCCUGACUUUGGGGUAUCUUCACGAAACUCGGGCUAAUAUCCGAUAGGAGCUCUUGCUGCAUGGUGGGGGUUGGAAAGUUUCGGCGGUUGGGGAUGGACUCGCGGCUUAUCGGCUGGUUUGUGGGGUAGGGGCUUACCGAGGCUUUGACGGGUAGGCGGCCUGAGAGGGUGGCCGGGGACAAUGGGACUGAGGUACGGCCCAGACUGCAACGGGAGGCAGUGGGGGGGAGUCUUACGCAAUGGGCGGAAGCCUGAUACGACGGCGCCGGGUGCGGGAUGACUGCCUAUGGGUUGUGAACCGCUUUCGCCUGAGACGAAGCGGUAGUGACGGUAAUGGGUAAAGAAGCACCGGCUAACUACGUG
rnacentral:rRNA from 1 species